rnacentral:lncRNA from 1 species
GGUGUGUGCUACGAUCGAACAGGAGAAAGGAAAAAGGGGGUGUGAACCCUAAACCUCAAGAAAUCAUCAAAUUGAAAAGGGAAUCAAGGGCUGAUUGUAUGCAUGAACCAAGGAUGAUGAUCCCUUAAGCAUUUCUAACAUCAACGUAGGAGCCAUGUCAACAUGGACACGAGCAUGGAAGGGCAAUGGGUCAACGGUAAAUACGGAAGCUAUGCAUGAACUCGGACGCACGAGGUAGCGUUAGUUAAUUGAGCAUGGUGAUGAUUGAAGUUUGAUAUGGUUUUGGUUGUAUGAAAUCGGUUAUUUUAGCUAAGUAGACCGAACGGGACAAUAUAAAGUUGUAAUGAUAUGACAGAUUGAUGUAAUGCUACGGUAUUGUAACCGGGUAAUGGGUAGAAUUGCACAUAAGUGCGCCAACCGAGAAUGGGGACUUAGGUUAAUGGUCAAAAGACUUAGCUUUUGACCUUAAAUAAAAGAAUGGUUUAACAAAAUACGAAAAGGUCGAAUAAAUGUGCAUAAACUUCAUAAUGCAAAUGAAAUGCGUAAAGAUUAAGGACCCGGGUAAGGGCGUUUAGCCCAUAAUGUAAGGACAAGUCUUACGGACAACUAGAAAUAAUUGUGAGCAAUUUGAUUGAGGAAUGUCCGAGAUACGCAAGUUUUAAUAAUAAAAAUAUGAAUGGGUUGAAUAGUCGAAACGAGUAUGUAGAGCCGAAGGCUUUAAGUAAGAUUUUUCCUUGUUUGGAUGUUAUAUUACAAGCUCAUAUGUUAGAAAAUCGAUUUACCAACGCAUAGGAAAAAGAAUCAUGUUAAUCGGAUUCGUAGAUCAAAAGUUAUGCAAAUUGUAAGUCGAAAAUACCCUUGGAAUUCAUAGCUGGGAAUUUACAGCAGCAAAUUUGAAGUUUCUGUCGAAAUAGAGCUGUCGCGCCCCGCGAGCGCCAGUCAGCUGGCAAAUUUUGGUUUUCUUGUUUGAUUUUGCAUCCGGACUCGAUGUUUUAAUGAUUUUCGAUGUCCCUUAACUUAUAUUAAAGCCGGUUUGAAACACGAGUGAUGUUAUGAGCCUCCGGAUAAUGAAAGUAUGUAUUUUUCUUCGUGUUAGAGAAGAAAGAUUAUAAGUAAUCGAGACUAGAAAUGAGUGGGCAUGCAGUAUGGUAAGUAUAAAACUUAUAUCACGGAAGUUGCGAUUAUGAUAAGAAAUGCGAGAUUAAGUGAAUAAAAGUAGUAAGCGAGGGCUCGCGUCUAUGUGUGUGUAUGUGAAUGUGUGCGUAUGUAUGUAGGUGUAUAUGUUGUAUGUAUGUAGGAAUUAGGAACGUAUACGUUUGUGGAUGCGAGAUGUUAUACGUAUAUGAAGGAAUGAUUUGGACUGGUUUCAUUAUGUUCUAGCAUUAAUGUUUGCUAAUCGUGUGUUUGAGAUUGGAAUGAAAUGCAGGUACAUGAACACCGGGUUCAUGAAGUAUCGAAGUCGAAUUCGGAACAAGAAAAUACGAAAGGAUAGUUGAAUGAAUUAAAGUUCCUACUGUUAAAUGUUAUUCAAUAUUGGACUAUAUGAGAAUCAUGUCGUAUGAUAUUGUUAAUGACUAAUGGUUAUGAUGUAUGCGAUGUCCACAGGUAUUGCACGGAUUACCGCUACUACUACCGAAGAUAAGCAAGCGUUGAUCGAGUCACGGAGCAAGGGUUGUACGGAAAUAUGUAUUGUCUUGAAGUGUUAAUUUAAUGUGGUUAUUGUAAAUCCCUUUUGUAAAUGUUUAUCAUUUGUAUUUGAGCCUUCAAGUAAGUAAUGUGUCUAAAUAAGAAAGAAAUUUUUGGGCUCGUAUUU